rnacentral:rRNA from 1 species
GAUGAACGCUGACAGAAUGCUUAACACAUGCAAGUCUUUGGCGAAGCUGUGCUCGCACAGCCUAGCCAAGGCGGACGGGUGAGUAACGCGUAAGGAACUUGCCCUGCAGUCAGGGAUAACAGACGGAAACGACUGAUAUGACCUGGUAAAGUCAGGCGGACUCAUGUCCAGCCUGAUGAAAAGAGAUGCUGCAGGAGAGGCUGGCGUCCUAUUACCUUGUUGGUGGGGUAACGGCCCACCACGCCGAUGAUAGGUGGCCGGCCUGAGCGGGUGGACGGCCAAAAGGGGAACGAGAUACGGCCCUUACUCCUACGGGAGGCAGCAGUGGAGAAUAUUGGAGAAUGGGCGCGACCCUGAUCCAGCAAUUCUGGGUGUACGAUGAAGGUUUUCGGAUAGAAAAGUGCUUGCAGAAGAGAAGAAAAAAAUGACGGUACCUGCAGAAGAAGCGACGGCUAAAUACGUG